rnacentral:sRNA from 1 species
CUGGCUGGCUGGCCGGCUUGGCCGGCCACUGCUUGUCGCUGUUUGCCAGCUUGAUAAUCUUAUUGUGGCCCGGCCUCCCCCCCCCUUCAUGACCCCCUCCUGCAUGGCAAGGGUAGAGGGCCUCCGGCGACAACAUCAGCAGCGGCUGAAAGUCAAUUGAUGAUACAAUUGAUGGAGCGACAAGACGACAUCCAGAAAUAGAACACGUUAAUUACGGGGCCCCGAUAAGAGUUACUGGACGGCCAAAGCCCACAGCCGAGAGCCGAGAGUCGAGAGCCGAGAAGAGAGUCGUCAAAGUUGAGAAAGGCACUGGGAAUCCAUACGCUAAGGGGUUUCCAGCCUCAGCCUCAGCCUCUAGCUUGGAUCUGUUCCAUAAUCAACUCCAAAUAGAUGGGAAAUAUUUCUACGAAAUGCCAGACGCCGAUUCCCUUUGGCACUCCCGACGCCAAAGCUCCCGCGACGGCGGUUAGUCCGGAGGAGUGGAGGCCCGCCCGCUCGUCUGGGACCGUGGGAGGAAGCAGCCAGCCCUUGGGGCGGGAACAUUGGGGGUUUUCUCCUGAAAUGUGAUCUAGUAUGUGGAUAUACGGAGCAACAGAGGUGGCAAGGUGGACACUGGACACUUUCGUUGGUGUGAUUCAAUGAUUGAGCGAGCUCUAAGAGGCCUUCCGCGACUCCCGAAUCCAAGAUACCCCCUUGAGUACCCCGCACAGACCAUAAAUGGGUUAAGAAACAAAAACACAAAUAAAUACAACUUGAAAAUAUAAGCCAUA